UACGUAGGGUGCAAGCGUUGUCCGGAAUUAUUGGGCGUAAAGAGCUCGUAGGCGGUUUGUCGCGUCGGCUGUGAAAUCCCGAGGCUCAACCUCGGGCCUGCAGUCGAUACGGGCAAACUAGAGUGUGGUAGAGGAGACUGGAAUUCCUGGUGUAGCGGUGAAAUGCGCAGAUAUCAGGAAGAACACCCGUGGCGAAGGCGGCUCUCUGGAACGGUACUGACGCUGAGACGCGAAAGCGUGGGGAGCGAACAGG
rnacentral:rRNA from 1 species